AGAGGAAGGUCCCCCACACUGGAACUGAGACACGGUCCAGACUCCUACGGGAGGCAGCAGUGAGGAAUAUUGGUCAAUGGACGCAAGUCUGAACCAGCCAUGUCGCGUGCAGGAUGACUGCCCUAUGGGUUGUAAACUGCUUUUAUAUUGGAAGAAUUGCGCUUACGAGUUAAGCGUUUGACGGUACAUUAUGAAUAAGGAUCGGCUAACUCCGUGCCAGCAGCCGCGGUAAUACGGAGGAUCCGAGCGUUAUCCGGAUUUAUUGGGUUUAAAGGGUGCGUAGGCGGAAAUGUAAGUCAGUGGUGAAAUCUUGCAGCUUAACUGUAGAAUAGCCGUUGAAACUGUGUUUCUUGAGUACAUUUGAGGUAGGCGGAAUGUGGUGUGUAGCGGUGAAAUGCAUAGAUAUACCACAGAACACCGAUUGCGAAGGCAGCUUACUAAACUGUCACUGACGCUGAUGCACGAAAGCGUGGGUAUCAAACAGGAUUAGAUACCCUGGUAGUCCACGCUGUAAACGAUGAUUACUGGUUGUUUGCGAUACACUGCAAGUGACUGAGCGAAAGCAUUAAGUAAUCCACCUGGGGAGUACGUCGGCAACGAUGAAACUCAAAGGAAUUGACGGGGGCCCGCACAAGCGGAGGAACAUGUGGUUUAAUUCGAUGAUACGCGAGGAACCUUACCUGGGUUUAAAUGGGGAGUGACAGGCUUGGAAACAGGCCCUUCUUCGGACACUCUUCAAGGUGCUGCAUGGUUGUCGUCAGCUCGUGCCGUGAGGUGUCGGGUUAAGUCCCAUAACGAGCGCAACCCCUAUCGAUAGUUACCAGCACGUUACGGUGGGGACUCUAUCGAGACUGCCGGUGUAAACCGUGAGGAGGGUGGGGAUGACGUCAAAUCAGCACGGCCCUUACAUCCAGGGCUACACACGUGUUACAAUGGCCGGUACAAAGGGCAGCUACACAGCGAUGUGAUGCUAAUCUCCAAAUCCGGUCUCAGUUCGGAUCGAAGUCUGCAACCCGACUUCGUGAAGCUGGAUUCGCUAGUAAUCGCGCAUCAGCCAUGGCGCGGUGAAUACGUUCCCGGGC
rnacentral:rRNA from 1 species